rnacentral:rRNA from 1 species
CCUACGGGAGGCAGCAGUGGGGGAUAUUGCACAAUGGGGGGAACCCUGAUGCAGCGACGCCGCGUGGGUGAAGGAGCGUUUCGGCUCGUAAAGCCCUAUCGGCUGUGAAGAAGAUGACGGUACCUUACCAAGAAGCCCCGGCUAACUACGUGCCAGCAGCCGCGGUAAUACGUAGGGGGCAAGCGUUAUCCGGAUUUACUGGGUGUAAAGGGGGCGCAGACGGCAAUGCAAGCCAGGAGUGAAAGCCCGGGGCACAACCGCGGGACUGCUCUUGGAACUGCAGGGCUGGAGUACAGGAGGGGCAGGCGGAAUUCCUAGUGUAGCGGUGAAAUGCGUAGAUAUUAGGAGGAACACCAGUGGCGAAGGCGGCCUGCUGGCCGGUGACUGACGUUGAGGCCCGAAGGCGUGGGGAGCAAACAGGAUUAGAUACCCUUGUAGUC